rnacentral:rRNA from 1 species
GACGAACCGUGCGAACGUUGUUCGGAAUCACUGGGCUUAAAGGGCGCGUAGGCGGGUGUGCAAGUCUGUGGUGAAAGCCUCCAGCUUAACUGGAGAAGUGCCGUGGAUACUGCGCAUCUUGAGGAGGGUAGGGGCAUCUGGAACGGUCGGUGGAGCGGUGAAAUGCGUUGAUAUCGACCGGAACUCCGGUGGCGAAGGCGAGGUGCUGGUCCCUUUCUGACGCUGAGGCGCGAAAGCCAGGGGAGCAAACGGG